rnacentral:rRNA from 1 species
AGCGAACGCUGGCGGCAGGCUUAACACAUGCAAGUCGAACGCCCCGCAAGGGGAGUGGCAGACGGGUGAGUAACACGUGGGAACGUACCCUUUGGUUCGGAAUAACUUGGGGAAACUCAAGCUAAUACCGGAUAAGCCCUUAUGGGGAAAGGUUUACUGCCGAAGGAUCGGCCCGCGUCUGAUUAGCUAGUUGGUGAGGUAAUGGCUCACCAAGGCGACGAUCAGUAGCUUGUCUGAGAGGAUGAUCAGCCACACUGGGACUGAGACACGGCCCAGACGCCUACGGGAGGCAGCAGUGGGGAAUAUUGGACAAUGGGGGCAAACCUGAUACAGCCAUGCCGCGUGAGUGAUGAAGGCCUUAGGGUUGUAAAGCUCUUUUACCCGGGACGAUAAUGACUGUACCGGGAGAAUAAGCCCCGGCUAACUUCGUGCCAGCCGCCGCGGUAA